rnacentral:rRNA from 1 species
AACGAACGCUGGCGGCAUGCCUAACACAUGCAAGUCGAACGAGACCUUCGGGUCUAGUGGCGCACGGGUUCGUAACGCGUGGGAACCUGCCCUUAGGUUCGGAAUAACUCCCCGAAAGGUGUGCUAAUACCGGAUAAUGUCUUCGGACCAAAGAUUUAUCGCCUUUGGAUGGGCCCGCGUUGGAUUAGCUUGUUGGUAGGGUAAAAGCCUACGAAGGCGACGAUCGAUAGCUGGUCUGAGAGGAUGAUCAGCCACACUGGGACUGAGACACGGCCCAGACUGCUACGGGAGGCAGCAGAGGGGAAUAUUGGAAAAUGGGGGAAAGGAUGAUCAAGCAAUGAGGGGAGAGUGAUGAAGGGCGUAGGGUUGUAAAGCUCAUUUACCCGGGAUGAUAAUGACAGUACCGGGAGAAUAAGCACCGGCUAACUCCGUG